AUCUAUAAAAGCGAAAUACCCCUUACCCAAUCACUAACUGACUGACUAAUCACGAAAUCUCAGGAAAUUGGAAGCCUACAAACUUGAAAUCUGGAAGGUAGGUUCCGCCUAGGGCGUAGGUGUCAGUUAAGAAACUGUUUUCAAAAAUCCCUAAAUUGAAAGC